rnacentral:rRNA from 1 species
AACGAACGCUGGCGGCAUGCCUAACACAUGCAAGUCGAACGAGACCUUCGGGUCUAGUGGCGCACGGGUGCGUAACGCGUGGGAAUCUACCCUCAGGUUCGGAAUAACUCAGAGAAAUUUGAGCUAAUACCGGAUGAUGACGUAAGUCCAAAGAUUUAUCGCCUGAGGAUGAGCCCGCGUAGGAUUCGGUAGUUGGUGAGGUAAAGGCUCACCAAGCCGACGAUCCUUAGCUGGUCUGAGAGGAUGAUCAGCCACACUGGGACUGAGACACGGCCCAGACUCCGACGGGAGGCAGCAGUGGGGAAUAUUGGACAAGGGGCGAAAGUCUGAUCCAGCAAUGCCGCGUGAGUGAGGAAGGCCUUAGGGUUGUAAAGCUCUUUUACCCGGGAUGAUAAUGACAGUACCGGGAGAAUAAGCUCCGGCUAACUCCGUG